UACGAAGGGGGCUAGCGUUGCUCGGAAUUACUGGGCGUAAAGCGCGCGUAGGCGGGUCGUUAAGUCGGGGGUGAAAUCCUGGAGCUCAACUCCAGAACUGCCUUCGAUACUGGCGAUCUUGAGUCCGGGAGAGGUGAGUGGAACUCCGAGUGUAGAGGUGAAAUUCGUAGAUAUUCGGAAGAACACCAGUGGCGAAGGCGGCUCACUGGCCCGGUACUGACGCUGAGGAGCGAAAGCGUGGGGAGCGAACAGG
rnacentral:rRNA from 1 species